rnacentral:snoRNA from 1 species
CUGCAGCCAAUUAAACUGACUCUGCUCUUUCCCCAUGGGGGCCCAGGGUGCAAUGGCUGCAAACAAAGCCUCCUUGGUAGUGUAUGCAGCCUGUUGCCCUAAGGAUUGCCCUAAGGGACAUUGGAGACCGCC